rnacentral:lncRNA from 1 species
GAUCAUUGUAAAUUAUUGUCUUUAAUAUUUUUUUUUUACUGUCACGAAAAUUGUAAUAUAUGUUAGAUACGUAAUUGUUCGGAAAGUCGAUGACGGUAUUUCAACUUUAAACUUUGGAACUUAACUUUCGGUUUAAUCGGAGUGGCGAGGGAAUUAACAAAAUUCGAUAGAUUUCAAUUUUAUUGAACGUGGUUCAAUUCGACGACAUUAAAUUUGACGUGUUUCAUUUUGACACGGUUCAAUUCCACGCGAUUGGAUUUUGACGCAUUUCAAUUCCACGUGAUUCAUUUUCAGUACGGUUCAAUUCCAUAUUACCUAAUUUCGGCACGAUUCAAUUCCACGUGAUCCAAUUUCAGCGUAAAGCAUUUCCAAACUGCAAUUACUAUUCUAGAAGAGCAAACACAGUUAUAGAUAGUUAGAGCUAAUUAAAUGAAGUUCUUGAUCAACAAUAAUUCUGAUACGUUGAAAAAAGUAACAUGUAUAAUAAGAUUGUAGUUAUGUAUAUCAUAUUUAUAAGCGAAUACAGCCUGAGAAAUACUUGUUGAUCAAAUACUAAAGAUGCAUUCAGAGUGGGCGACGGACACUUAACCUACACAUCAUACAAUUCAUCUACAAGUAACAGUUCCAUAACAACCUAUGCAGUAUGUACAGCUACAUAGGGUAAGAACUUAUCCAUUAACUACAGACCUAAUUAUCCAAUUACCCUUCCCUAAAAUUUCCAUAUGAACACCCAUAAAAAAUAAUGAAAAGAACCGACAAAUUAUCUUAUCACGAUAUGAAAAGCAUGUAGGGUGCGUUGUUUCAAGCUCGAACGACCGGUAAACCGAUCAGUCUGCAUAAUGUGAUUUAAACGUCACCCUAACGAGAUCAACCGCCCCGAUGGUUCGAUCGUCGCAAAGCCGAGGGCAGCAAGGGUGGUGAACGAUUAAUCCGUGACUUUCCGUUCCUGGAUCGAGAUAUCCUUGGAUAGAAACGAGACGAGGGAACCAGCUGUGACAGGGCAGCGGCUGCACGUACAAUAUCGCCGUGGCUUUUGGGGAUCCAAGAUGACGCCCUCUCCUUCCGUUCUCGCGUUAUGUCCAAGGGGCUACACGCCACCUUCUCUGGCGUCAGCUUGCAACGGAAGAAACAAAACGGCUGACCCUGCCUCUUCUUUCACGUAUCGCCAAAAAAACUCCCCCUUUUUUCUGAUUAUCAAUAUAUCAGGUACACGUUCUUGAACACUUUCAGAGAUUGUUAUGAAGGAGGGAUUUCUGGAACAGUGGAUUGGUGCAUGUUUGGUGAUCAAAGUUUACUUUGUACAGCUUUAAUUUUAUUAAGCUUAGUGGUGUGACGAUUCGCAAAUGGAAAACGAUAGCCAAAAAAAGUGAAAAACCUGGUUAAUCAAUGCCAGGAAAACCAUGGUUGUUCUUUGUCAAAUAUUUUACCGUGGCUUCGUUUCAAUUCCAAGAAAACAACCCCUCGUCCUUUCGUGUUAAUAUUUGCUGCGCUCAAUAUCGUCAAAGGACUCUUGCUCCGUGUUUUCCUCGAACAUACAAUAUUUACUCCUUGAAAAAUUCUUCUCUGCAGCUGCAAAGAUCGCAAUAUGCCUUUUACUUUAUUUGUGACUUGACAAAUCACUCAUUUAUUAUUACACGAAUUUAUAUUCUUCACAAUGUAUUUAUAAAAAUUAUGAUCUAUACAAUUAAAAUAAA